rnacentral:rRNA from 1 species
UACAGAGGUCUCAAGCGUUGUUCGGAUUCAUUGGGCGUAAAGGGUGCGUAGGCGGCGCGGUAAGUCGGGUGUGAAAUCUCGGGGCUUAACUCCGAAACUGCAUUCGAUACUGCCGUGCUUGAGGACUGGAGAGGAGACUGGAAUUUACGGUGUAGCGGUGAAAUGCGUAGAUAUCGUAAGGAAGACCAGUGGCGGAAAGGCGGG